rnacentral:miRNA from 1 species
AUGUUGUGCUGCACCCCGUGAACAAUAUUGUUGAACAAGUUGUUCAACCAUCAGUACUGUUGCAAGUUGUUAACAUGAUUGUCAACAAGUUGCAACAAUGUUGAUGGUUCAACAACUUGUUAACAAUAUUGUUCACGGGGUGCAGCACAACAU